AAAUAUUGCUUUGUUUUUGUUGUCUUAGCCAAGAAAACUUUUCUUGGACAAAAUAAAUCUUUCUGGGGGCCUCUAGAACUGGUAGAAAAGCUUGUUCCAGAAGCUGCAGAGAUAACAGCAAGUGUUAAAGAUCUUCCGGGACUUAAGACACCAGUAGGCAGAGGAAGAGCCUGGCUUCGUUUGGCAUUAAUGCAAAAGAAACUUUCAGAAUAUAUGAAAGCUUUGAUCAAUAAGAAGGAACUUCUCAGUGAAUUCUAUGAACCCAAUGCCCUCAUGAUGGAAGAAGAAGGAGCCAUAAUUGCUGGUCUGUUGGUGGGUCUGAAUGUCAUUGAUGCCAAUUUCUGUAUGAAAGGAGAUUUGGACUCUCAGGUUGGAGUUAUAGAUUUUUCAAUGUAUCUGAAGGAUGGGAACAGCAGUAAAGGUAGUGAAGGAGAUGGCCAGAUUACUGCAAUUCUGGACCAGAAGAACUAUGUAGAAGAACUCAACAGACAUCUGAAUGCGACUGUAAACAAUCUUCAGGCAAAAGUAGAUGCAUUAGAAAAAUCCAACACUAAACUGACAGAGGAGCUUGCAGUUGCAAACAACAGGAUUAUUACCUUGCAAGAAGAAAUGGAACGAGUUAAAGAGGAAAGCUCCUACAUAUUGGAAUCCAAUCGGAAGGGUCCUAAGCAAGACAGAACUUCAGAAGGACAAGCACUAAGUGAAGCAAGAAAGCAUUUAAAGGAGGAGACUCAAUUACGAUUGGAUGUUGAAAAAGAACUGGAGAUCCAGAUCAGCAUGAGACAGGAGAUGGAGUUGGCUACGAAGAUGCAAGAGAAGGAUGUCUGUGAGAAGCAGGAUGCUCUGGUGUCUCUGCGACAGCAGCUAGAUGACCUCAGGGCUCUCAAGCAUGAACUUGCCUUUAAGCUACAGAGUUCAGACUUAGGAGUAAAACAGAAAAGUGAACUAAACAGUCGUUUGGAAGAGAAGACUAAUCAGAUGGCUGCUACCAUUAAACAACUUGAACAAAGAUUGCGCCAGGCUGAGCGAGACCGCCAGUCUGCUGAGUUGGACAACCGGCUCUUCAAACAGGACUUCGGAGACAAGAUCAACAGUCUGCAGCUGGAAGUGGAAGAGCUCACCAGGCAGCGGUGAAGAGAGGACAUCUUGAGCUGACAGGGUGGUCAUGGGUAAUUCUAAGGCUAGACAGAAAGAGAAGGAGGGGUCUCAUGAUGUCCAGUCAUCUCAACAAUGUCUUUGCAAUGUCCUUUCUCUGGAAUUGGAACUCAGAAAUUUUCACAUACAUCAAUAUUCCCAAAAUUCCGUCAACAUCCUUUGUGAUCAAAGAAUUAGGAAAUUAGAGCCCAAGGUCCCAGAUAAAUAGUAAUUAAUAGCCAACACAACACUAAUAAUAAUAUUAGCCAUUUCCUGAAUUCUUACUGUAUGCCAGAUACUUUACAAAGUCCUUCACAUGCAAUCUCCUAAUAUCUUCACAUCAACCCUAUUAGUAGGGGAUAUUAUUUCCCCCACUUUCAGAUGAAAUUAAAGCAUAGAGGGGUUUAAUGUGUCCAGAUGCACACAGUGAAGCUAAUAAGUGGCAAAAUUAUCAUUUAAAAACCUGUUUAACUCUAAGCCCUUAACUAUUCUUCUAUAUUAUCACUCAAAUGAGACUCAUUUCUGUGCUGAAACCACUGACUUCAAAUAGAACUUUGUUUGGACAUAAAGCACAUAGCUACUAAAGACACUAAUGAUUGAUGGUGUAACUGGGGAUUGAAUACAUAACUGUAAAGAAAGACCAGCUAAUUAAUAUGAAGUGAAACUAUAUCUGAUCUUUCAUACUAUAUGUUGCCGAAAAUUUAUAAAUACUGUCUUUUAGUUAUA